rnacentral:rRNA from 1 species
AGGGUGCGAGCGUUGUCCGGAUUUAUUGGGCGUAAAGAGCUCGUAGGCGGUUUGUCGCGUCGUUCGUGAAAUCUCCACGCUUAACGUGGAGCGUGCGGUCGAUACGGGCAGACUUGAGUUCGGUAGGGGAGACUGGAAUUCCUGGUGUAGCGGUGAAAUGCGCAGAUAUCAGGAGGAACACCGGUGGCGAAGGCGGGUCUCUGGGCCGAUACUGACGCUGAGGAGCGAAAGCGUGGGGAGCGAACAGG